AGAACCCGAUCCCAUCUCGAACUCGGCCGUUAAACGCACCAGCGCCCAUGGUACUGUGUCUCAAGGCACGGGAGAGUCGGUCGCCGCCA
rnacentral:rRNA from 1 species